rnacentral:rRNA from 1 species
GUGGGGAAUCUUAGACAAUGGGGGAAACCCUGAUCUAGCCAUGCCGCGUGAUCGAUGAAGGCCUUAGGGUUGUAAAGAUCUUUCAGGUGGGAAGAUAAUGACUGUACCCCAAGAAGAAGCCCCGGCUAACUCCGUGCCAGCAGCCGCGGUAAUACGGAGGGGGCUAGCGUUGUUCGGAAUUACUGGGCGUAAAGCGCACGUAGGCGGACUGGAAAGUCAGGGGUGAAAUCCCGGGGCUCAACCCCGGAACUGCCUUUGAAACUCCCAGUCUUGAGUUCGAGAGAGGUGAGUGGAAUUCCGAGUGUAGAGGUGAAAUUCGUAGAUAUUCGGAGGAACACCAGUGGCGAAGGCGGCUCACUGGCUCGAUACUGACGCUGAGGUGCGAAAGCGUGGGGAGCAAACAGGAUUAGAAACCCCGGUAGUCC